AUUGAACGCUGGCGGCAGGCUUAACACAUGCAAGUCGAGCGGAGAUGAGGUGCUUGCACCUUAUCUUAGCGGCGGACGGGUGAGUAACGCUUAGGAAUCUGCCUAUUAGUGGGGGACAACAUUCCGAAAGGAAUGCUAAUACCGCAUACGUCCUACGGGAGAAAGCAGGGGAUCUUCGGACCUUGCGCUAAUAGAUGAGCCUAAGUCGGAUUAGCUAGUUGGUGGGGUAAAGGCCUACCAAGGCGACGAUCUGUAGCGGGUCUGAGAGGAUGCACCGCCACACUGGGACUGAGACCCGGCCCAGACUCCUACGGGAGGCAGCAGUGGGGAAUAUUGGACAAUGGGCGGAAGCCUGAUCCAGCCAUGCCGCGUGUGUGAAGAAGGCCUUUUGGUUGUAAAGCACUUUAAGCGAGGAGGAGGCUACCUAGAUUAAUACUCUGGGAUAGUGGACGUUACUCGCAGAAUAAGCACCGGCUAACUCUGUGCCAGCCGCCGCGGUAAGAC
rnacentral:rRNA from 1 species